GACGAACGCUGGCGGCGUGCUUAACACAUGCAAGUCGAACGGUGAAGCGCCUUCCUUUUUGGUGGGUGUGGAUGAGUGGCGAACGGGUGAGUAACACGUGAGUAACCUGCCCCCUUCUUCUGGAUAACCGCAUGAAAGUGUGGCUAAUACGGGAUAUUCUGGGUCUGUCGCAUGAUGGGUCUGGGAAAGAUAUUGUUUCGGUGGGGGAUGGGCUCGCGGCCUAUCAGCUUGUUGGGGGGGUGAUGGCCUACCAAGGCGGGGACGGGUAGCCGGCCUGAGAGGGUGGACGGUCGCACUGGGACUGAGACACGGCCCAGACUCCUACGGGAGGCAGCAGUGGGGAAUAUUGCACAAUGGGCGCAAGCCUGAUGCAGCGACGCCGCGUGAGGGAUGGAGGCCUUCGGGUUGUGAACCUCUUUCGCCAGUGAAGCAGGCCUGCCUCGUUUGUGGGUGGGUUGACGGUAGCUGGAUAAGAAGCGCCGGCUAACUACGUG
rnacentral:rRNA from 1 species